rnacentral:rRNA from 1 species
GACGACGCUGGCGGCGUGCCUCAAACAUGCAAGUCGAGCGAGGUGAAACCGAACCGCAAGGUGAGGUUGAACCUAGCGGCGAACGGGUGAGUAACACGUGGGUAACCUGCCUGGAAGAUCGGGAUAACGGCUCGAAAGAGUCGCUAAUACCGGAUAAUGUCCUGGUGCUGCAUGGCACCGGGAAGAAAGGGGAAACCCGCUUUCAGAUCGGGCCCGCGCCCCAUCAGCUAGUUGGUAAGGUAACGGCUUACCAAGGCGACGACGGGUAGCCGGUCUGAGAGGACGAUCGGCCACACUGGGACUGAGAUACGGCCCAGACUCCUACGGGAGGCAGCAGUUGGGAAUCUUAGGCAAUGGGCGAAAGCCUGACCUAGCGACGCCGCGUGAGGGAAGAAGGCCUUCGGGUCGUAAACCUCUGUCAUGGGGGACGAAGAAAGUGACGGUACCCCAGGAGGAAGCCCCUGCUAACUACGUG